GGAUGAACGCUGGCGGCGUGCUUAACACAUGCAAGUCGAACGAACCUUCGGGUUAGUGGCGGACGGGUGAGUAACGCGUGAGAAUCUGCCCUCAGGAGGGGGAUAACAGCUGGAAACGGCUGCUAAUACCCCAUAUGCCGCGAGGUGAAACGAAUUUCGCCUGAGGAUGAGCUCGCGUCUGAUUAGCUAGUUGGUGUAGGUAAUGGCUCACCAAGGCAUCGAUCAGUAGCUGGUCUGAGAGGAUGAUCAGCCACACUGGGACUGAGACACGGCCCAGACUCCUACGGGAGGCAGCAGUGGGGAAUUUUCCGCAAUGGGCGAAAGCCUGACGGAGCAACGCCGCGUGAGGGAUGAAGGCCUCUGGGCUGUAAACCUCUUUUAUCAAGGAAGAAGAUCUGACGGUACUUGAUGAAUAAGCCACGGCUAAUUCCGUGCCAGCAGCCGCGGUAAUACGGGAGUGGCAAGCGUUAUCCGGAAUUAUUGGGCGUAAAGCGUCCGCAGGCGGCCCUUCAAGUCUGCUGUUAAAAAGUGGAGCUUAACUCCAUCAUGGCAGUGGAAACUGUUGGGCUUGAGUGUGGGUAGGGCAGAGGGAAUUCCCGGUGUAGCGGGUGAAAUGCGUAGAUUAUCGGGAAGAAACACCAGUGGCGAGGGCGCUCUGCUGGGCCAUCACUGACGCUCAUGGACGAAAGCCAGGGGAGCGAAAGGGAUUAGAUACCCCUGUAGUCCUGGCCGUAAACGAUGAACACUAGGUGUCGGGGGAAUCGACCCCCUCGGUGUCGUAGCCAACGCGUUAAGUGUUCCGCCUGGGGAGUACGCACGCAAGUGUGAAACUCAAAGGAAUUGACGGGGGCCCGCACAAGCGGUGGAGUAUGUGGUUUAAUUCGAUGCAACGCGAAGAACCUUACCAGGGUUUGACAUCCUGCGAAUCUCUUGGAAACAGGAGAGUGCCUUCGGGAACGCAGUGACAGGUGGUGCAUGGCUGUCGUCAGCUCGUGUCGUGAGAUGUUGGGUUAAGUCCCGCAACGAGCGCAACCCACGUCUUUAGUUGCCAGCAUUUAGUUGGGCACUCUAGAGAGACUGCCGGUGAUAAACCGGAGGAAGGUGUGGAUGACGUCAAGUCAUCAUGCCCCUUACAUCCUGGGCUACACACGUACUACAAUGCUACGGACAAAGGGCAGCAAGUUCGCGAGGACAAGCAAAUCCCAUAAACCGUGGCUCAGUUCAGAUCGUAGGCUGCAACUCGCCUACGUGAAGGCGGAAUCGCUAGUAAUCGCAGGUCAGCAUACUGCGGUGAAUACGUUCCCGGGCCUUGUACACACCGCCCGUCACACCAUGGAAGUUGGCCACGCCCGAAGCCGUUACUCCAACCCUUGUGGAGGAGGACGUCGAAGGUGGGGCUGAUGACUGGGGU
rnacentral:rRNA from 1 species